CACGUAGUUAGCCGGUGCUUAUUCUUCCGGUACCGUCAUCCGCCACGGGUAUUAACCACGGCGUUUUCUUUCCGGACAAAAGUGCUUUACAACCCGAAGGCCUUCUUCACACGCGGCAUUGCUGGAUCAGGCUUUCGCCCAUUGUCCAAAAUUCCCCACUGCUGCCUCCCGUAGGAGUCUGGGCCGUGUCUCAGUCCCAGUGUGGCUGGUCGUCCUCUCAGACCAGCUACAGAUCGUCGCCUUGGUAGGCCUUUACCCCACCAACUAGCUAAUCUGCCAUCGGCCGCCCCUGUAGCGGGAGGUCCUAAGAUCCCCCUUUCUCCGUAGAGCGUAUGCGGUAUUAAUCCGGCUUUCGCCGGGCUAUCCCCCAUACAGGACACGUUCCGAUGUAUUACUCACCCGUUCGCCACUCGCCACCAGGGUUGCCCCCGUGCUGCCGUUCGACUUGCAUGUGUAAGGCAUGCCGCAGCGUUCAAUCUGAGCCAGGAUCAACUCU
rnacentral:rRNA from 1 species